UACAGAGGUCCCAAGCGUUGUUCGGAUUCACUGGGCGUAAAGGGUGCGUAGGAGCGGUCGGGUAAGUCUGAUGUGAAAUCUCACAGCUUAACUGUGAAACUGCAUUGGAUACUAUCCGGCUCGAGGAAUGGAGGGGAGACUGGAAUACUUGGUGUAGCAGUGAAAUGCGUAGAUAUCAAGUGGAACACCAGUGGCGAAGGCGAGUCUCUGGACAUUUCCUGACGCUGAGGCACGAAAGCCAGGGGAGUAAACGGG
rnacentral:rRNA from 1 species